rnacentral:precursor_RNA from 1 species
UGAUACAUUGCAAUAUUAAGUUUAUAUCUAAGGUUGUUUUCUUCCUGUGGCAAGCUAUUACU